rnacentral:piRNA from 1 species
GAUAGCCAGACUCCAAAAUUAUGCCC